AGAGAGAUAGCUUAGCAGGUAAAAGCACUGGUUACUCUUCCAGAAGUCCUGAGUUCAAUUCCCAGCACCUCCA
rnacentral:tRNA from 1 species